rnacentral:rRNA from 1 species
GCACCUACGGGAGGCAGCAGUGAGGAAUAUUGGUCAAUGGCUGAGAGGCUGAACCAGCCAAGUCGCGUGAGGGAAGACGGCCCUACGGGUUGUAAACCUCUUUUGUCGGGGAGCAAAGAGAGUCACGUGUGACUCAUUGAGAGUACCCGAAGAAAAAGCAUCGGCUAACUCCGUGCCAGCAGCCGCGGUAAUACGGAGGAUGCGAGCGUUAUCCGGAUUUAUUGGGUUUAAAGGGUGCGCAGGCGGAGGUGCAAGUCAGCGGUCAAAUUGCGGGGCUCAACCCCAUACUGCCGUUGAAACUGCAU